rnacentral:lncRNA from 1 species
CUAACUCAAAGGAAGUGGAGAUGGCUGGCUGAGGAAAUCCAAAGGUCCUCUCCUCCUCCGAGGCAGUGCCCUGCAUGUCCACUCUGUUUCCUGGUUGGGAGUCUGACUUCUGCCAAGUGAAAGCUCAUGCUCAUGUGAGAGAGACAAAAGCCAUUCCAUGAGGCCCAAAAUUCAGUAAUGGAAGGAUCAGCAGUUCAGGCUUUUUACCAGGUUGUUUUAAAUGUUCAUAAAGGACAUCAAGAAACCAAAGUCCUGUUAGUUCAUGAUCCCUUUUCACAGGAGAAGUGUCCUAGAAUUUGUCCUGUGGUGACACUAAUUUUUGUUGUUGAAAUUUCUGCUGUUCCUGAUGUGUCAGGUAAGAGAGAUGUUAUCUCACUCGCUUUUCUGGUGAAAGCUCCAAUGUAUGUUGUCUUACAAAUCCAUGUUUUUACAAAAUCCAUAUUGAGAGAAGAGUCUAAGUCAGACAGUAACACUUGGUCCCCAUUCAGAACUCCGUGGCUGCCAGGCAGCCAUUCCUGUGUCUGUCUGGGAGGUGGACACUCUCUACGCACACCAGCAGCACACAGAUCUUAUGUACAGCUGCCAACACUGCUUUGCUAACCACAGGCUGGGUCUUUGAUGCUGUCUCAGCAGACAACAUUCUGAGCAGGGCUAUUUGGUGUCUUCUAAAUGCUGUAAAAUUACAGAUUAAUUUAUUGGUGCGUCUGUUCCAGGCUCACUGAGCAAACCAGAAGCUUUGGGAUACCUUUGUGGCCAGACAUUAUGGUAACAUUCUCCACUAGAGAAUGCAGGAGCCAGCACAAUUCUGUGUGGUUGGCAGGACAUACACAGAUGUAUCUGUGGUCUAAACCCAGUUCUGAGCCUGUUAUUUUUCUAACCUUGUGCAGCAGAAUGAUAAGCUGCACAGACAAAAUAGGCUCUGUGCUUCUCUGAGAGAAAAGGAGGAUAGGUUUCCUGCUGAGGAUGUAAGCCUUUGACUAUGACUGUAGUAGUGAAAUUUGCCUUUUCUCACAGUCCAGAAAAAAGUAAAAAAAAAAAAAGAAAAAAGAAAAAAAGAAAAAAAAAAGAAUAAUAGACAUUGAAAAAUGCACAUUAUUUCAAUAUAACUAAUACUUGAAGUAAGGUAAUAAAUAGAAAAACGUGUAAUUUGAAGGAAUAAGA